rnacentral:rRNA from 1 species
GACGAACGCUGGCGGCGUGCUUAACACAUGCAAGUCGAACGGAAAGGCCCUGCUUGCAGGGUGCUCGAGUGGCGAACGGGUGAGUAACACGUGUGUGAUCUGCCCCUUACUUUGGGAUAAGCCUGGGAAACUGGGUCUAAUACUGGAUAGGACCAUGCUGUAGGUGGUGUGGUGGAAAGAUUAGUUUCGGUAAGGGAUGAGCUCGCGGCCUAUCAGCUUGUUGGUGGGGUAAUGGCCUACCAAGGCGUCGACGGGUAGCCGGCCUGAGAGGGUGGACGGCCACAUUGGGACUGAGAUACGGCCCAGACUCCUACGGGAGGCAGCAGUGGGGAAUAUUGCACAAUGGGCGCAAGCCUGAUGCAGCGACGCCGCGUGGGGGAUGACGGCCUUCGGGUUGUAAACUCCUUUCAGCCAUGACGAAGCCCUUGUGGUGACGGUAGUGGUAGAAGAAGCACCGGCUAACUACGUG